AUUGAACGCUGGCGGAAUGCUUUACACAUGCAAGUCGAGCGGCAGCGCGGGGGCAACCCUGGCGGCGAGCGGCGAACGGGUGAGUAAUACAUCGGAACGUACCCAGUCGUGGGGGAUAACACAUCGAAAGAUGUGCUAAUACCGCAUACGACCUGAGGGUGAAAGUGGGGGAUCGCAAGACCUCACGCAGUUGGAGCGGCCGAUGGCGGAUUAGCUAGUUGGUGAGGUAAAGGCUCACCAAGGCGACGAUCCGUAGCUGGUCUGAGAGGACGACCAGCCACACUGGAACUGAGACACGGUCCAGACUCCUACGGGAGGCAGCAGUGGGGAAUUUUGGACAAUGGGGGCAACCCUGAUCCAGCCAUUCCGCGUGAGUGAAGAAGGCCUUCGGGUUGUAAAGCUCUUUCGGCAGGAACGAAACGGUGGAGGCUAAUACCUUUCAUCAAUGACGGUACCUGAAGAAGAAGCACCGGCUAACUACGUGCCAGCAGCCGCGGUAAUACGUAGGGUGCGAGCGUUAAUCGGAAUUACUGGGCGUAAAGCGUGCGCAGGCGGUUAUGUAAGACAGAUGUGAAAUCCCCGGGCUUAACCUGGGAACUGCGUUUGUGACUGCAUAACUCGAGUGUGGCAGAGGGGGGUGGAAUUCCACGUGUAGCAGUGAAAUGCGUAGAGAUGUGGAGGAACACCGAUGGCGAAGGCAGCCCCCUGGGUUAACACUGACGCUCAUGCACGAAAGCGUGGGGAGCAAACAGGAUUAGAUACCCUGGUAGUCCACGCCCUAAACGAUGCGAACUAGGUGUUGGAGAAGGAGACUUCUUUAGUACCGUAGCUAACGCGUGAAGUUCGCCGCCUGGGA
rnacentral:rRNA from 1 species